AUUUUGGAAGGAAUGCUUACAAUUGAUGCUUUCAGCGUCCUCCCCUCCUGUGACAGAGUCAGGUCUCGGCACGAAAAGGGGGUGGAGCAGAGCGGCGGGCGGACAGAUGGCGGUAUGAGCGGCCCGGGCCCUCUCUUCUCUGUUGGCGGGCUUGCUGCCAUGCUGACAAGCACUGUCGUUUACCUGAAGAGAAACAUGACCCAUGCCCUUGUGAAACCGAACGUACCUGUGAGAAUCGACACGUGCCCAUCGCAUGCAUUAAGAAUUGCAGGCUCCCUAAUAAAUGUCGGUGUAAAGAGGACCAUGUCCGCAACAAAGCGGGACUCUGUGUAAAACCGGACCAUUGUUUCCACUUUUAGGAGAGAAAUGAUAUAGAUGUACAUACCUGCUGUCAUAUGCUGUGUAUUAUCUUCCCAUUAUAAUAAAGCAAAAAAUCCUU